UUGAGGGGGGGCAAGGCAAACGGAGAUGUGUGCGUGUGUGUGUGUCGUGCGCGCGCGCAUGGCGGGCCCAGGAGGGACCUUGAGAUGCGGGGACAAGGCAAACAGAGAGAGGUGUGUGUGUGUGUGUGUGUGUGUGUGUGUGUGUGUGUGUGUGCGCUGGGCCCAGGAGGGGCCUUGAGGGGGGGCAAGGCAAACGGAGAUGUGUGCGUGUGUGUGUGUCGUGCGCGCGCGCAUGGCGGGCCCAGGAGGGACCUUGAGAUGCGGGGACAAGGCAAACAGAGAGAGGUGUGUGUGUAUGUGUGUGUGUGUGUGUGUGUGUGUGUGUCGGGCCCAGGAGGGGCCUUGAGAAGGGGGGACAAGGCAAACGGACAUGUGUGUGUGUGUGUGUUGUUCCAGGACCAGGAGGGGCCUUGAGAUGGUGGGACAAGGCAAACGGAGACGUGUGUGUGUGCCGGGCCCAGGAGAGGUCUUGAGGGGGGCCAGAGAGGGAGAGAGGCUCUUAAUCAGCAAGGAAGAUGCCCGACGGGAGGCGCUGAGGAGCCACAGUGAGCCCACCUGAAAGGGAGCCUUACAGCAGAAGGGUGGAUGGCAGCCAUCCUGAGGGUGGACCCCAGGGCCUAGAGCUGGUAGAAGCAGCCCGGGGCAGCCCCUGACGGCGGCCGCGGGCACUGCCUCCUGCUGCCCGGACGGUGCCCUGAGCCACCGCACAGAGGCGAGCGGAUGUGUGCCAGGGCCUCAGCUGCUGGCCCUCUCUCUGCCUGACCCACCCAGCUCCGACCCA
ensembl:lncRNA